rnacentral:lncRNA from 1 species
UGACAGAGAGGGAGCAAGAGGGAGAGUAUAAGCAGGGAGAGGGGCGGAGGGAGAGGGAGAGGGACUCCAUCCCAGGACCCCAGGAUCAUGACCUGAGCCUAAGGCAGUCGCUUAACCCACUGAGCCAUCCAGGCGCCGGAGAAAGUAGUUUAAAACAUUUUUCAAAGAGUUGGAAGAGCUUUCUGAGCACGGUCAUCAAGGAGCUAGCUUCAACUCGCACCAAAGGUUUCAAAUAAUUACAGCGGCCCCUACUCAUCUGUAGUUUUGCCUUCCGCAGUUUCGUCCCCGGAGGCAAGGAGCAGGGUCCAAGGCUGAUGCUCCGUCUUCCAGCAAAUCAUAGCCUAACGCUUGCACGCCGUGCCUACGUCAUUUCUUCACUUCAUCUCAUCACGGAGGCAUUUUAUCAUCUCAUGUUGUCACAAGAAGAAGGAUGCGACAUUGAAUGUGAUUGUCUUGAGCAUCUCAGCAAACCUUAAGAUAGAAACCUUGAACUGAAUUACUUAGAAAAGGAAGCAAGCUAUUGUUUUACAGAACUAAACUUAAAAAUCUACCAGAAGAAAUAAUAGAAAAUGUAUAUCAUUUUAAAACAAAU